ACGAACGCUGGCGGCAUGCCUAACACAUGCAAGUCGAACGAAGCCUUCGGGCUUAGUGGCGCACGGGUGCGUAACGCGUGGGAAUCUGCCCUUGGGUUCGGAAUAACAGUUAGAAAUGACUGCUAAUACCGGAUGAUGUCUUCGGACCAAAGAUUUAUCGCCCAAGGAUGAGCCCGCGUCGGAUUAGCUAGUUGGUGAGGUAAAGGCUCACCAAGGCGACGAUCCGUAGCUGGUCUGAGAGGAUGAUCAGCCACACUGGGACUGAGACACGGCCCAGACUCCUACGGGAGGCAGCAGUGGGGAAUAUUGGACAAUGGGCGAAAGCCUGAUCCAGCAAUGCCGCGUGAGUGAUGAAGGCCUUAGGGUUGUAAAGCUCUUUUACCCGGGAUGAUAAUGACAGUACCGGGAGAAUAAGCCCCGGCUAACUCCGU
rnacentral:rRNA from 1 species